AGUCACUGACAUUAGAUACCCCCGUAGUCCAGGGUGUAAACGCUGCAGACUUGGUGUUGGAGGCCCUUUGGGGGCAUUCAGUGCCGGAGAGAAGUUGUUAAGUCUGCUACUUGGGAGUACGUCCGCAAGGAUGAAACUUAAAGGAAUUGGCGGGGGAGCACCGCAACGGGAGGAGCGUGCGGUUUAAUUGGAUUCAACACCGGAAAACUCACCAGGGGAGACUGUUACAUGAAACCCAGACUAAUGAUCUUGGUUGAUUUUCAG
rnacentral:rRNA from 1 species